rnacentral:tRNA from 1 species
AGGAUAAUAGUUAACUAUAACAUUUAAAUUGCAUUUAAAAAGUAUUGAUUUAAUCAGUUUAUCUU